GUAGGUGGCAAGCGUUGUCCGGAAUUAUUGGGCGUAAAGCGCGCGCAGGCGGUCCUUUAAGUCUGAUGUGAAAGCCCACGGCUCAACCGUGGAGGGUCAUUGGAAACUGGGGGACUUGAGUACAGAAGAGGAAAGCGGAAUUCCAAGUGUAGCGGUGAAAUGCGUAGAGAUUUGGAGGAACGCCAGUGGCGAAGGCGGCUUUCUGGUCUGUAACUGACGCUGAGGCGCGAAAGCGUGGGGAGCAAACAGGGAUUAGAUACCCUGGUAGUCCACGCCGUAAACGAUGAGUGCUAAGUGUUAGGGGGUUUCCCGCCCCUUAGUGCUGCAGCUAACGCAUUAAGCACUCCGCCUGGGGAUACGGCCGCAAGGCUG
rnacentral:rRNA from 1 species